AGCUAUAGCUCUGGGGUUUUUGUAGAUUUUCAAAUAAAACUCAGAGAUUCCUUUUAUGAUUCUCUCAGGUCUCUCUUUUGUGGUAUUUUUGGAUCCUUACCAAGGUAGUGAUGGUAUAUGCCUUCUCUCAAGAUAUGUGGUACUUGUGGUAUGAGGCAUAGUGACAUUGCCUUUUCUCUCACCCUACUCUAAUAAGGCUUUAAUAUCUAGAGCUCAUAGGUGGGAGAUAAAGUAUACAUACUUACAAGACAUUUAUUGCAUAGUCAAACCAUGGAUCCAAAGUAACAAGUCAAUAAGUUUAAUCAAGAUGUGCAUGUGUGGCGAAUGAAUGGUGUAUGGUGAUGAUGGUGAUAACAAUGAUGAAAACAAUGGUGGUGGAAGUCUAAUUCUACUUUUGCUCUUUGAGGAGAUACAUACCUUCCUUGCUUUUGAAACUUUAUGAGGAGAAUGAGAUGCUCUUCUUUUUCUUGUCUCUCAGGUGGGUAUCUUGCACCCCUAAUUCUACUAUCGGACACUUGUCCAUUUUUACCUCUCGUCUCACUUUUUCUUUUCUUUCGAGGUUCCGAGCACUUGCUCCUUUUUAUUUCCUCAUAUUAUUCCUUUUUUUUAGAGCAUUCAUCUCUUGAGAUAAUAUAGCAAGUGGUAGUAACAAGAUAUCUUGAGCAUUUAUUUUACAAGGGGAAAACAGAAAUAUUUUUGGUUAUUCUCUCCCGGAUUAGGAGUAGAAUAUUUUUAGGUGGUUCUGGAGAUGGAAUGGGUAGAUAUAUGUGGAUGGUACUUCCGGAGUAGAAGUAGCAUAUAUGAGUGAACGUGCAAGUGAAAUCUUGAUUUAAUCACAUGACAAGCUUCUAAGGGUCUACACAGCUU
rnacentral:lncRNA from 1 species